GCCCACCUCCUCCCCAUAGACAACGUGCCAUCAACGCUUGUCAUUUGUGUUUUCGGCUCUUUUUUCCUGUCUUCUUCGCGCUCUUUGUCUCAGGUUGAAAGAGGGAAAGCAACGAACACACACACACACACACACACAUCCAUACAUGCACACACGAAAAGACGUGUUGGAUACGCCACCCAACGCCCCUUCCCUCCUCUUCCCAAAAGCCUUCCCCCUCCCCCUCCUCUCUCUCUCCUCCCCCACUAGCGCGCUUCUACUCGAACGCACUCUCAAGUGAACCUCCUCCUAGCAGAGCCACAGCAGCAGUCGAGUGAAGGAGGGGCUGAGAGAGGGCCAUCACCAACUCCGCUCUUCUUUUUCAUUGCCAAGAAAGGAAUUGGCUGCCUUUACUCUUCUCGUAUAGUCCUCAUGACCACCCGAAAGCUGCACUGUGUGUGGCCGGUGCCGGCUGACAUCGACAUUGCUCAGAGUAUCGAUGCCCAGCCGAUCACGAGCAUCGCCGAGGCCGCGGGUAUACUUCUUUCGGAGCUGAGCCCGUACGGCAGCACUCGCGCCAAGGUGAAGCUGAGCGUUCUGAAGCGUUUGGAGGGCAGCCCAAACGGCAAGUACGUCGUGGUGGCGGGCAUGAGCCCCACCCCGUUGGGGGAAGGGAAGAGCACCACGACGAUCGGCCUCGCCCAGGCUCUCGGUGCUCAUCUACAACGACGCUGCUUUGCGUGCAUUCGCCAACCGUCUCAAGGACCGACCUUCGGCAUCAAGGGCGGUGCCGCGGGAGGCGGCUACAGCCAGGUGAUUCCGAUGGAGGAUUUUAACCUCCACGGCACCGGCGACAUACACGCUAUCACCGCAGCAAACAACCUCCUUGCUGCGGCGCUUGACACUCGCAUCUUCCACGAGCGGACGCAGGACGACGCCGCGCUUUACCGCCGUCUCACCGACGAGCUGAAAACGUUCACACCGAUUAUGCAGAAGCGGCUCGAUAAGCUCGGCAUCUACAAAACAGACCCCAAGUCGCUAACGGAGGAGGAGCGCGUCUGCUUUGCGCGGCUGGACGUCGACCCUGACACCAUUUCGUGGCGCCGCGUCACCGAUGUCAACGACCGCUUCCUGCGCGACAUCGAGAUCGGGAUGGGAAAGGCAGAGAAAGGCAUCAGCCGUCGCACCGGCUUCGACAUUUCGGUCGCGUCCGAGGUUAUGGCCAUUCUGGCGCUCGUGGACGAUUUGGCCGACAUGCGCCAGCGCCUGGGAGCGAUCCAGGUGGCCAAAAGCAAGACGGGCGCAUCGGUGACGGCUGAGGAUGUGGGCUGUGCCGGGGCCAUGACGGUGCUGAUGAAGGAUGCGGUCGAGCCGACGGUGAUGCAGACGCUGGAGGGCACCCCCGUGCUGGUGCAUGCCGGCCCCUUCGGCAAUAUCGCGCACGGGAACAGCAGCGUCGUCGCCGACCGCAUCGCCCUCAAGCUGGCCGGUGCGGACGGCUUCGUGCUGACGGAGGCCGGCUUCGGUGCAGACAUGGGCUGUGAGAAGUUCUUCAACAUCAAGUGCCGCACGAGCGGGCUGAAGCCGGAUGCGGCGGUGCUCGUGGCGACGGUGCGCGCACUGAAGUUCCACGGCGGUGUGGAGCCAAAGGAUGCUACCAAGGAGAACGCGGAUGCCUUGCGUGCCGGCAUGAGCAACCUUGUUCGGCAUAUUCAAAACAUUCGCAAGUUUGGGGUGCCAGUGGUGGUGGCGCUGAACCGGUUCAGCACCGACACGGAGGCGGAGCUGGCGUUGGUAAAGGAGCUGGCGACGCAGGAGGGUGGCGCGGCGGAUGUUGUGGUCACAGACCACUGGUCCAAGGGCGGCGCCGGGGCCGUCGGUCUUGCCCAGGCGCUCAUCCGCGUCACGGAGACGACGCCGUCGAACUUCCAGCUGCUUUACCCAAGUAACGCGUCGCUAAAGGAGAAGAUCGAGACGGUGUGCCGCGAGAUUUACGGCGCCGCCGGCGUGGAGUACCUCAACGACGCAGAGGAGAAGCUGGCGGACUUCGAGAGGAUGGGCUACGGUGACUUUCCUGUAUGUAUGGCAAAGACACAGUACAGCUUCUCGCACAACCCCGAGCUGCGCGGGGCGCCGACCGGCUUCACUGUCCCCAUCCGCGACGUCCGCGUCAACUGCGGAGCGAAGUUCGUGUUUCCUCUGCUGGGCGACAUCUCCACGAUGCCUGGUCUGCCGACCCGACCGGCGUACUACAACAUCGACAUCGACUGCGAGAGUGGAAGGAUUGUGGGUCUUUCUUAACAGGGGAGCCGGUUUUAGUUGGUGAUGGACCAGCAGUUAUUUGCGUGUUGGUAUCUGUACGUCCGUGAGUGGUUUGUGUAGAAUGCGGCGCACAGGGCGAGCGCUUGAGUAGGAGCGGCACUGUCUUAGGCGCAAAGGCAGAAAUAAGUACACUGAAGGAGUGGAGGAGGGUGGAGGGGGGAACCUCCUUUGCGUGUCAUGUGCCCGUGAGAGGUUGGUUGCCGGUAACGGCUUCCCUCGGUCAUCACACACACACAACACAAGCACACUCACGUUCGUCGUCGUGGUGCUGCACGUUCGCGUCCUCGCCCUUCCUUCCUAUCUGUCUCCCUCUCUCGUAUACUCCGCUUGUAUGCACACGACCCAAAACGGAAGAAAGUGGCGGAUGGCUCUCUCCUCACAUUCCUUCCUUUUUUUUUUAGUUCCUUCGUCGGCUGCCACUGGCUCUUCUCCUCCGUAGCUCUUGUCGGUUAUUUUUCUUUUCACUUUGAAUGUUCCGACACCCCCUCCCCCUCCAUCUCUAUCGCGUCGUGUGGGCGUUCUGAACCCGCCCCCUUUUUCCACUUGUACCCCACGGUGCCUCUUCGCAGUCCAUGAUCUUUCUCUUCUUUCUUUUUCUUCUCUGUCUUGCGCGCUCUGUUCUCUUUUUCUCAUCAGGUACACCUGCAUGCGCUCUCUUCUCCCCCAUCUCUGUCUUUCUGUGUAUGCGUGCGUAUACGCACGCCUUGUCUGUCGCUGUUUCCGUUAAUUGGUGCUCUAGUCCACCCAUUCGGUGGCGUUAUGGCCCUCCUCCCUCUCCUCGUGCCCUCUUCUUUUGGCUCGUUCUCUUUUUCGGUGUUGCGGUAGCCGAGCUUCGCUUGCUUCCUUCCAGUUUAUCGUUCUCGUUCUGUCACCACGAGGUGUAGCGGUGGCCUCCCCUUCCCUACUUCCUCUACCCUGUGUCUCUUUGGGCAAACCCCUCUAUUCCACUUUUCUCCCAUGGCGCGCUCUCUCGACGGCUCCGCCUGAGGGCAAGAGCGGCCCGUGCACCGCCCCUUUUUCCCUUGCCUGCACACUCCUCAGAUUCCAACGCAGGUGUGGGAAUGGGUGCGCACCUUCGCUGAUUAGGUACGCCCAGUAGCACAGGUGUGAGCCAGUCCACAGACACACACACACACACACACACAUACGCGACAGUGGCUGGGUGUGCCUCUUUCUGCGUCACCCAGCAGUCACACAUGCGCCUUGAUGAAGAGGCAGGAGAGGUGAACAAGGGAGGGACGGCAGGCACUGCGCGGUUUUCCAUCGCUAUCAGCGCCAUGUGCACGUGCACACGUGACAGCGUUUUUGUUCUUCUAUCAUUUCCCUCUCCUCUGUCCGAGGCACGCUUGCGCAUUCUCCUGCCUACAUGUACGAGCACUUCACCCCUCUACCCUAUCGCACGCACCUGCACACAGACACGAAUUGCAGGAGAGGAGGAGGAUGAUUGGCUUUGUCUAUCCACGGUGAGACGGCAGAGAAACACGAGAAAGUACGCAC
rnacentral:misc_RNA from 1 species